GAUGAACGCUAGCGGGAGGCUUAACACAUGCAAGUCGAGGGGUAAAUGGUAGCAAUACUAUGAGACCGGCGAACGGGUGCGUAACGCGUAUGCAACUUACCUUAUGCAGGGGGAUAGCCCGUGGAAACGCGGAUUAAUAUCCCAUAGAUCAGUAAUAUCGCAUGGUAUAACUGGUAAAACUCAGGUGGCAUAAGAUGGGCAUGCGUCUGAUUAGCUAGUUGGUAGGGUAACGGCCUACCAAGGCGACGAUCAGUAGGGGUUCUGAGAGGAUUAACCCCCACACUGGUACUGAGACACGGACCAGACUCCUACGGGAGGCAGCAGUGAGGAAUAUUGGUCAAUGGGCGCAAGCCUGAACCAGCCAUCCCGCGUGAAGGAAGAAGGCCCUACGGGUUGUAAACUUCUUUUCUGUUUGAAGAAUAAGCCCGUCGAGACGAGUGAUGCCGGUAGGACAGGAAUAAGCAUCGGCUAACUCCGUGCCAGCAGCCGCGGUAAUGUCAG
rnacentral:rRNA from 1 species